GCCGGUGUGGCGGAAUGGCAGACGCAACGGACUUAAAAUCCGUUGGGGCGAAAGCCCCGUGCUGGUUCGAUCCCAGCCAUCGGCA
rnacentral:tRNA from 1 species